GGGGCGUGGCCGCGCGUGCGCGCUCGAGUCCGCGGUCUACGCCUGAGGCGGUCUUGCAGCGUGCUUGAGCGGGUUCCGGGCGCUUCUGCGCCGUCGGCUCCGGCCGAGGCGUCGGGCUGCGCUGGGCUCGGCGCUGCGCAGUGUCCGGCGGCCUCUCGGUCCGGAUCUUCUCCAGAGGAGGAGCAGCGCACCCCAGACCUGCGGUCCUGGGAGACUCGGGGGCCCCCCUUUGAGAGACCUGAGCGUGGACAGAAAUGGCCACCCGGUGAAUGAGCAAAGCGCAAGGAAAACCGUGCGGGUCCCCCGACUAGCAAAAGCUUUGACGUCCUUUCUCCUGCAUAGUUGAUUUUCUAUGAACUCUCCAAGUGCAGACGGUUUUCUCUAGGCUCCUACAGUUUUGAAGUAGUCAGUAGGAUAACUAAAGUCACUCUACUGGGAGCCUCUGUCAAGGGAACCCAGGAUCCGACAAGCUGACAGAAGGUCCUCAACCUGGUCAACUGUCCAAGCUCCACCGCUGGAGUCGAGUCCUGCCACCUACCUCAGGAACACUCUCUUGGUCUCUGCUAUUCAGAGGUAGUGAUUGGCAGGUCACAUCCUGUGGUCACUCUGAAAAUGGUUGGGAACCCAAGACAGGUUGGAGUACAAUGGUGUCAUAUCUGCUUA